CCUACGGGUGGCUGCAGUGGGGAAUAUUGCUCAAUGGGCGAAACCCUGAUGCAGCGACGCCGCGUGAGGGAAGACAUCUCUCGGUAUUUAAAGCUCUUUCUGUAGGGAAGAAGAAAGACGGUACCUGACUAAGAAGCAUCGGCUAAAUACGUGCGCGCAGCCUAGGUCCUAGGUAGGGGGCAAGCGUUUUCCGGAUUUGCGUGGGUUAACGGGAGUGUAGACGGCUGUGCAAGGCUGAAGGGAAAGCCCAGGGCUCAACCCUGGGACUGCUUUGGAAACUGUGGAGGUAGAGUGAUGGAGGGGUAAGUGGAAGUCCUGGUGUAGCGGUGAAAUGCUUAGAUAUUAGGAGGAACACCAGUGGCGAAGGCAGCGUACUGGACAGAAACUGACGCUGAGGCUCGAAAGCGUGGGUAGCAAACAGGAUUAGAUACCCGAGUAGUC
rnacentral:rRNA from 1 species